AAGUAAAUAAUUCCAACCCAGAAAAUCACCUUAUAAACGCCAAACAGCUAAUAAAACUGCACUAACCGCAGGCCCCUCUUACGCUGACAAUUUGCUAAAAAAUGCCAUCACACUGAGCUGCGCAGGAUCGACUCGAUGUUAUUUCUCUGCGGAAACAGCGACGACAUCUUCAUUCAAGGAGCCACUAGCUUCGAGAGAGCUAUGGUGCCGAUUCAUCGUGUGCACAAUUCGUCUCGUUCCUAUUCACUCGCACGAAAAACGGAGUCAAUGGGCCGUCGUCCUUGUGUUCGUUCCGGCUCCAGGCUUAUUAUUAUGGCCCGAAUUAUUUCGGCAAUAGCGGCCAGUAGCUACAGGUGCACCCGUUCAUGGAUACGUCGUUCAGGACACAUUCAGCGACAUUCGGUCAUUGAGAAGAGAAGUUUUUGCCGAUGACGAAUCGUAGGAAGCGACCGAUCCUCUGGGGAGGAAGCGUAAAAAGGAUCUGCCGGCAUUCAACGAUCCGUUCGUCCAGAACGGCCGACUCCCAUCGAUGGAAAGCAUCCUGAUUCUCCUUUUACAUCGAAUAAUCGAGCAACGGUGUAAUUGUGAAGUUGGAAGCACGCUGUUCACCGACAAUGUGCACAUUUGUCAGGAGAACAGUAUCGAUGAGCACUUCAUUUCUCGAGAUCGUGGAAAGUCCUCGAAAGCACACGCCCAGGUUAUUCCAGCUGUGAUUUGGAAAGUCUUGUAUGGUGUUUUGGAUUUAUUUGAGUUUUGUAUAAUUCAUAUGUUGGUAUCUUUGUUGUGUAUUCCUGGAAUUUAGAAAUGUUUCUUUGUUAGAAAUUGGGUAUUAAGUUACUGGUGAAUGAUGGUUAUUGGAUGAAUCUGAGGAUGUAAGUUAUGGUUCAUGUUGUAAAAAUAUGUACGUUAGUAACAAU